UACGGGGGGGGCAAGCGUUGUUCGGAAUUACUGGGCGUAAAGGGCUCGUAGGCGGCCAACUAAGUCGGAUGUGAAAUCCCCAGGCUUAACCUGGGAACUGCAUCCGAUACUGGAUGGCUUGAAUUCGGGAGAGGGAUGCAGAAUUCCAGGUGUAGCGGUGAAAUGCGUAGAUAUCAGGAGGAACACCGGUGGCGAAGGCGGGUCUCUGGGCAGUAACUGACGCUGAGGAGCGAAAGCGUGGGGAGCGAACAGG
rnacentral:rRNA from 1 species